rnacentral:tRNA from 1 species
GGUGAGAUGGCCGAGUUGGUAUGUUUCCUUCACAGCACCUUACUAGCCGACCCACGUCUAACAACUUCAAACAGGUUAUGGCGCCAGGUUAAGGUCCUGGUGGAGCAAUCCUCAUGGGUUCGAAUCCCAUUCUCAUCA